GACGUAGGGUGCAAGCGUUGUCCGGAAUUAUUGGGCGUAAAGCGUCCGUCGGCGUCUUGGUAAGUUUUCCGUUUAAGCCUGGGGCUCAACUCCAGAAAAGCGGGGAAUACUGCCAGGAUUGAGUCUGUUUGGGGGAACUAGAAUUCUCGGUGGAGGGGUGAAAUCCGUAGAUAUCGAGAGGAAUACCAGUCGCGAAGGCGGGUUCCUAAAACAGUACUGACGCUCAGGGACGAAAGUCUGGGUAGCAAAAGGG
rnacentral:rRNA from 1 species